UACGGAGGGAGCAAGCGUUAUCUGGAUUUACUGGGUUUAAAGGGUGCGUAGGCGGGCAUGUAAGUCAGUGGUGAAAUACCGGAGCUUAACUUCGGAACUGCCAUUGAUACUAUAUGUCUUGAAUAUUGUGGAGGUAAGCGGAAUAUGUCAUGUAGCGGUGAAAUGCAUAGAUAUGACAUAGAACACCGAUUGCGGAGGCAGCUUGCUACGCAAAUAUUGACGCUGAGGCAAGAAAGCGUGGGGAGCAAACAGG
rnacentral:rRNA from 1 species